UUGUCUGUGUACCAGGCUCUUGAUUGUAACACUGGCCGUUAAUUAAAGCCUUUUUUUUUUUUUUUUAAUAAAAGAGUACAGACCAAACCAAGUGUAUCUGUGGGCCAGAUGUAGCCCUCCUGGUGACCUUGGCAGGGGCUGGAGUGCCCCUGUAGGCCUUGUAAAAGCAGGGAGACAGGUGCUGGCCUCCAAGAUGAGCCAGGUGGGGAGCAGAGGGUCCUGGAGGCGGGCGGCGUGGGGUUGGACGGUGCGGGGAGCCCCCCGACUGCAGACGGGAAACACCGAGGGAAGCACCAGGUGCUCACGUGAUGAUAGAAAUGAUCAUGGGUGAGCAGCAGACCUCGCCCACCCCUCGCCCCAGUGUAAGCAGAGAACAGAGGCUUCUCAGAUCUUGAAGGACUAACUGUUCCAGAAAGAGAACGGUGCUUGCAGUGCGUCUGGCAACCAGUGGGAACACAGAGAGGAAGCUUCAUUUGUUCAGGAACAAAUCUGUGGGUCCCUGUUGAGGGCCGGGCGGGGGAUAGAACAAUAGCGGCUACGUGUGCUGAGCAUCUUCUGGGGACUCUCCUGCGAGUGAGCUGCUUAAUCUUUGUAGCCACGCCGUGGAGUGUGGGUGGUAGGAUGACUCUCGUUUUGCAGACAAGGACAUUGGGUCACAGAGAGGGCAGGCAACUUGGCUGAUGUCACCCAGCCGGUGAGUGGCGGCUCUGAUGUGGACACAGGAGGUAUACAGGCGGAACCCGCGCUGAGCCCCUGGUCCGUGCUGCCUUUUGGAAGGAGAACCAUCCUCUGAAUCCUGGGAGAUGGCGUGGAGGUUAGAGCUGCUUGUUCUGAGCCUCCCAGAAGACUGUGGGCUGGUUCUGCCCAUAAUCGUGUCUGUUUAUUGAGCACUUACUAUGUAACAGGCACGUCGCAUGGAGCGGCUCAGGCAGGCAUGCUGUCCCUACCCUGUGAACAAAGCUUGGAGGUGUUGAGUGCCUUCCCCAGGGAGCAGACGGUCACUAGUGACUCUGACCAAGCUUCCCCUGUGUGCCACCUGCAGGAGGUACUAUUAACCCCCUUUACAGAUGAGGAAACUGAGGCCGAAGGUCACACCACUUAGCAGAGAGGGCGAUACUAAUGCCUGCUUCCUAGGGUUUUUGCAAAGAUAAAUGACUUAAGAUGGGAAGAUGCAUAUAACGGGGCCUGGCAUGCACCGAGCACUCCCCGUGUGUGCAUCAUCCGUGUUUCCUGUUAUUAUUUAUCUUCCUCUGGGCCAUCCUGUUAGGAUAAAGAAGGGAGCCUUUUUUUCUCGCGUGGAAGUUUGGUUUCAUGAACUCGAUACUGAUGAUACGAUGACACGCGUGCUCGUCAUUUGCUGGCAGGGGCCCUGGGUGAGGUCAGAGGACUCGCUCAGGGUUGCGUAGCUGAGAUAUGGUGGAGCUGAAUUUAUAUUAAAGUUUAUUUGUGGCUGUGCUGGGUCUUUGUUGCGCUGUUUGGGCUUUCUCCAGUUGCAGUGAGCGGAGGCCUCCAUCUGGUUGUGGGGCGUGGGCGUCUCCCUGAGGGGGCUUCUCUUGUUGCCAAGCACAGGUUCUAGGGCACGCGGGCUCAGUAGUUGUGGCCCAUGGGCUUCGUUGCCCCAUGGCACGUGGCAUCUGCCCAGACUGGGGAUCGAACCUGUGUCCCCUGCACUGGCAGCUGGAUUCUUAACCGCUGGACCACCAGGGAAGUCCUGGAGCUGAAUCUGAAAGCAUACCUGUCGGGCUCCUUGGCCAAACUAUUUCCCCUGCUGUGUAUGGUCCUCAGGCUCACUGCUUAGGCGUGGCUGAUUCUGAGCAUUCUGACUCAGGUUUGAAAAAGUUUUUGUGGGGGUAUGUGUGUGUGUGUAUGUACAUAGAUAUAAUAUUUUUAUGUAAAUGUAUAAAUACACAUAUGUAUACUAUAUGUAUAUAUGUGUUUAUGUGCAUCAGGUAUGUGUAAUGUGUAGUCAUAUAUAUGUAAUUUUUGUUCUGUUAUUUUUCUUAUCUUAGUAUGUAUUCAGCAUUUGAAAAAUAUAUAAAAAAGAAAGCAGACAGCCCCCUUGUCACCUGGAGAGAACCAGUCUCAUUGCUUUGGUGUUUUCCUCCCAGUAAAGUUUUCCCCACGCUUGCACACUUAAGCGCGUAGCACCUAGCUCCUGCCUUGCCCCCUCCUUUGUUGAGUCUCUGUUUAUUUUCAUGCUAUCCGGGGGAAAACAGCUAAGAGCCAAGUAAGGUUGGGGACUGCUUUACGCGCCUUCUGUGUGUAAGUGGGUACAGUGCCGCCAUGAUUUCCAGGCAAGACCUGAAGGCACAGAGAGGUUAAGUCACUUACCUAAGGUCACACAGGAAGUGGGUAAAGCUUGAACUGAGCCUGGAGGCUCUAGCUCCAAAGCCUGCACCCUUAGAAAUCUCUGAUGAUCCUGAGAUAAUUUUCCAGGUUGCUCCUAGGGGCUUCUGUUGUUGCCUAGGUAUUUUGGAGAAAAAAAAAAUCAGGAAAUAAAUCUAGUCUGUUUGCACAUGAAGACACAUUUUCCCCUUGCCAGGGCGCUUGGUCUCGGGCAGCGCAUCGCCCCUCCUCGCACCUGGGUUCCUGCCCACCGUGGGUUGUUCUCGUCACACUAGUUGGUGUGACUGAACAAGAAUCAGCUGACCCCUGGGGCCUCAGGGUCCCUCACGGCGAGUUGGGCAGCGUGUUACUUCUCUGUCAGGAUCUAGAGGAGAUGAGCAUGUGUGAGACAGUGCUGAAUACAGCCACCUCUGGUUUCCUGUAUCACUCACUUUUGGGGAAGGAAGUGCAUUCACAUGAUGCAGAAUUCAAAAGAUACAAGAGACGCACAGGACAAGACUUACCUCCCUGCUCAGACCCGGGGGGCGGGGCACCCGUCUCCCUGAGGCGCCAACGUCGCCAGUUUCUUGAGUCCUUCAGGAGGCGGUUUGAGUCCGUCCGUGUUGUCAUUGCCAUCAUCACUGGUGUUGUAAUUUAUAAAGGGUUUGGCAGAAUGCCCUGCAUAUUUAAAAUUGCCAAUAAAUGAUUCGAUUAAGGCCAUUAUUACUGUGGAGCUUAAGAAGGCAUCACAUUUUGAUUUUCCGACUAGGAGGUGAAACUGAGUAGAUCUUCUUGGCAUCAUUUAUUUAGCUAAAUAGACCUCUCUCAUUCAAACUUAGGUUGCUGUUAAGGGAAUUACAUCUCCCUAGUUUAACAUUUAUUGUCAAACUGUAAAUACUUCCCUAAUGAAUACAAGUUUUGGAAGCUGCCUCAAGUAAAUGUUUGUUAAGCCUUGGCUUUACCUGUCGCUAGGAAUAGUGAUGUAAAAGACUCCAUCAGCCUACACUGGCUGUAUCCCACAUCUAUGCCUGUAUCCUUUCUCUCUCCAUCCAAAAAUGAUACAUUGACAAUAAAAGCUAUGGAUGGUAUCAGUGUGGGCAGGAUAGCCUGGUUAAAAAGUAGCGAGAAAAGCAUGGAGUAGGAUUGAGUGGUUUUCCAGCCUCUCUUAUUUAUUCAACAAACAUUGAUAGGGCUUUCACCACACGCCAGGCUCCAUGCUGGAUUCUCCUCACUCAGUUCAGUCCAUGGACCAAUAGCACAGACUUACCCUGGGAGUUUGUUCAAAAUGCAGAGUCCCAGGUUUCUCCACAGUCUGCCAAGUUGGAACCUGCCUUGUAUAAGAUCCCCUGAAGAUUCAUGUCCUUUUGGCAAAACUUUGCUGACUGGAGAUGGGGAUAGAUUAGUGAACAGAACAGACAAAAUCCCAUGUUCUCACAGAGUUGGUGUUCUGAUGAAGCGAGACACACAGCAAAACAAAUAAAUCUAGUGAUAAAAAAAAAGCAAUAAGAAGAAAAAUAAGGCAGGAUGGGAGAUGGAAGAUGAUUGUGAGUUGGUGAAGAUGCUGUCUAGGGAAGAACUUUCUGAAGAGGUAAGAUUUAACCAGAUUUUCGAGUCAGGGAGAGAAUAAGUUGUGUCACUGUCUUGAGGGAAAGUGCUGGAGGAAGGGAACGGUGAGUGCAAAGGCCCUGAGGCAGGAGCCUUCUUGGUAUCCACUUUGGACAUUAGUUCAGAGGUGGGUUCUGAUCAGGAAUUAAGUAUUAAUAGUGAACAUGUCCCCCCCCCCAACCCUGCAUAUGACCUUUGCUGUGGUAUUUGAGUGCCUUUUAUAUAACCAUGGGAUGUAGACAGAGGUCCCCAAGUCACAGCCCAGGGAAGUCUUCUGUGUCAUUGGGCACAGUUGCACAGGCUGUGCACUGCACAAGGGCAUCCAUUCACAUUUGCAUAUUUGUCAAGACAGUGUCCUGACACAUGCCUUCUAAGGGUGCACGUGGAGAGGUGUCUUUUCCUAAUUUGUACAAGAACGCCAGGCAACCUAGCGAUGGCCCUGGUGAUAUAAUUCUUAAGAAGAGGAAAAAUCUGAGUGUGAGUAUGUUUCAGUUAGGGACAUUCAUCAGCCUUUGAUAUACUACCUGGUCCUUUAAGACAUUUGACUUUACCUGUUGGUGGCAAGAAGGGCAUUUCUGCUCGUCUGAAAGGCCUCCCUUCUCCGGUCCUUUCUUUCUCCCGUGGGGGUUUUGUUGCUUUCUCCUUCUGCCCUCUCACCAGCCGGCGGGGAGCCUCGUCAGCUUCCACCUCUGCCCGAGGCUGAGGGUGCAGCCCGCCCGCACGCUUCUCCUCUCUGAGCCGUGGGCGCCUUGGCUCUGAACCAGGGGGCGCUGCUCUGGAAGCGCCCUCCCACCCCUGCACCUCCGUGAGUCUGUGGCUCAGAUCAGUAGGUGUCACCGAGUAAGAAGUGCCUGCGUUUAGUUCUGUUCGCUUUGAGGUGGAAGGUGGAGGCUCCAGCUUUUUGUCGCCUCGGCCUGCAUCACUUGCAUCAUUUCCUACCUCCAGAGUUGACUCAUUCAUGGACUUGAAGCUGACUGGUUUAGAGUUUGGGGAUCCUUGAGCUAGAAGGAGACUUAGAAAUCAUCUAGCUGAAUGACUGGUUUAGAGUUGGGGG